GAUCAGAUACCGCCCUAGUUCUAACCAUAAACGAUGCCAACCAGCGAUCCGCCUGGGUUCCUCAAAUGACUCGGCGGGCAGCUUCCGGGAAACCAAAGUGUUUGGGUUCCGGGGGAAGUAUGGUUGCAAAGCUGAAACUUAAAGGAAUUGACGGAUGGGCACCACCAGGAGUGGGGCCUGCGGCUCAAUUUGACUCAACACGGGUAAAUUUACCCGGCCCGGACACUGGAAGGAUUGACAGAUUAAGAGCUCUUUCUUGAUUCAGUGGAUGGUGGUGCAUGGCCGUUCUUAGUUGGUGGAGUGAUUUGUCUGGUUUAUUCCGAUAACGAGCGAGACUCUAGCCUACUAAAUAGGCGUUCCGAUCACUUCAGUCGGACGUUCUUCUUAGAGGGACAAGCGGCGUUUAGCCGCACGAGACAGAGCAAUAACAGGUCUGUGAUGCCCUUAGAUGUCCGGGGCCGCACGCGCGCCACACUGAAGGAAUCAGCGUGUGCUUUCCCUGUCCGGUAGGACUGGGUAACCCGUUGAACCUCCUUCGUGAUAGGGAUAGGGGCUUGUAAUUGUUCCCCUUGAACGAGGAAUUCCCAGUAAGCGCGAGUCAUCAGCUCGUGUUGAUUACGUCCCUGCCCCUUGUACACACCGCCCGUCGCUACUACCGAUUGAAUUAUUUAGUGAGGUCUUCGGACUGGCGCCCGGAGCGGCCCCCGGCCGCGCCGUAGUGCCGGAAAGAUGACCAAACUUGA
rnacentral:rRNA from 1 species